AUACUGAAACAUCUCCUCUGCAAAAUUGCUCCCCGCGUCAGGAAGGGGACAGGCUGUGUUCUGAUCUAAUUGCUGGGACUGUCAGGGAUUUUGCCAUGUUCUACUUAUCUGAUGAGAAGGGGGAUGCAAAGCUUCUUCAUGUCUUAUGCAGAGACACUGCAGAAUCUGUUGUGAUACUGAACACUGUAUUUGAUAAAGGAUGUGAAAAAAAUCCUGGAAGAUAAGAUCAUUGUGGUUAUUUACCAGAAUGGGAAAAAUGCUGUCUCCAAACCAGGAAGUCCAUGAACUUCUACCUUCUGGAAGGAUAUUUGAUGUAGGCUCUUAUUUAUGCAUUU